UACACAGUCAGUAUUUUUAUUUGAUUAUUAUUAGCUAUUCAUACAUGCCUACAGUUUAUUGCAUACAAUACAAAGACGGUUCAUCUCUUUAUCUAGAAACCCAAAUUCUUUACAAGCAGAUCUGACCAGAAUUCUAUACAACAGUUUUUAUUUAAAACACACAUAAUGUUACUUAUACAAAUCACAACGAUAGAGAUACAGAGUUAAAGUGACAUGGUUUGAGUUCAAUUGACUUUGGCUACAUCUCAUAUUCUUAUAUGCUAGUGCACUAAAUGGAGAAUAGGGUAUUAUUUGCGACUGAGCCUUAGAAUGUGUAUAUUUCCCAUGUCGGUAUCAAUAGUUCCGAUACAUUCUAGUUCAGAAUGUAAAUGAGAACGUUAUUGUCAUGGAACGUUUGAUGCUGAAAUGGAUUUAACAGAACUCUGUUCAUCUAUCCACCUCAUUGUCGAACGUUGCUAUGGGCACGGCCAAACAACGGAAGUGAAGGAUUCGACUUCUGCUUUACUUACCACUGCAACGCGCUGGUGGCAAUCUUGCCAGAGUAAAUUAUUGGAAAGAGACAAUUUAUAGAGUAUAACAGUCAAGUAUAAGUGUAAUUGAGUACGUGUAAUUGUAUAUGUAUUUCAUUCAAGUAGGCUAGUUCUGUUGUGAUAAUACUGUUAGUUGUGUUGUGUCAGAGUUUAGGCCCGGGCCAUCCACCCAAUAACUAUAACGAUAACUAUAAACUAUAGGCUGCACAAUUAUAAAACGUCGCUGAGCAUCCAUACUAGAGGAAAGUGUAUCGUUUAUCGUUCUACAGUCCUACACCUGUCAAUCAACUGAUCAAACCAAUCUACUGCACGCUUCCUAUCAAUAAGGUGGUAACACAAGACCAUUCAUGAGGUCUCUAACACACAGAAUCUGGUUCAGACCAUUCAUGAGGUCUCUAACACACAGAAUCUGGUUCAGACCAUUCAUGAGGUCUCUAACACACAGAAUCUGGUUCAGACCAUUCAUGAGGUCUCUAACACACAUAAUCUGGUUCAGACCAUUCAUGAGGUCUCUAACACACAGAUACCAGUUCAGACCAUUCAUGAGGUCUCUAAGACACAGAAUCUGGUUCAGACCAUUCAUGAGGUCUCUAACACACAGAAUCUGGUUCAGACCAUUCAUGAGGUCUCUAACACACAGAAUCUGGUUCAGACCAUUCAUGAGGUCUCUAACACACAGAAUCUGGUUCAGACCAUUCAUGAGGUCUCUAACACACAGAAUCUGGUUCAGACCAUUCAUGAGGUCUCUAACACACAGAAUCUGGUUCAGACCAUUCAUGAAGUCUCUAACACACAUAAUCUGGUUCUGACCAUUCAUGAGGUCUCUAACACACAGAAUCUGGUUCAGACCAUUCAUGAGGUCUCUAACACACAGACACUGGUUCAGAUCAUUCAUGAGGUCUCUAACACACAGAAUCUGGUUCAGACCAUUCAUGAGGUCUCUAACACAAAGAUACUGGUUCAGAUCAUUCAUGAGGUCUCUAACACACAGAAUCUGGUUCAGACCAUUCAUGAGGUCUCUAACACACAGAAUCUGGUUCAGACCAUUCAUGAGGUCUCUAACACACAUAAUCUGGUUCAGACCAUUCAUGAGGUCUCUAACACACAGAUACUGGUUCAGACCAUUCAUGAGGUCUCUAACACACAGAUACUGGUUCAGACCAUUCAUGAGGUCUCUAACACACAGAAUCUGGUUCAGACCAUUCGGUGCUUUCAGGGUGUGUUCAUUGUCAUAGUGACAACUGCAAAUUAUAAUAUGUGAAUCAAGGCCUAAUGAAAAGCAAUAUAGUACCUCAAAUUUAAAUGUAGCAAUUCAACAACAAACACUGUUUAGCCUGCACAUAUUUUACAGCAUGUAUUUGCCCUCUUGCUCAAGUGGGUUGCAAGUGAUUUUUUGAGGUCUUCUUUUUUACAGUUCUCAUCUCUGUAUGUCCUCUGAAACUAUUUGCAAUGUAUCAGUGCAACAAUAUUAUCAUAACCGGCCAAAAGUGAUCACACGAUUUCCUCAACUUUCCCCAACAUGCGUUUUCUAUGCUGUAGGCCUGUUUUACAUUCGGCAAUUAGCAAGAGCAAGCCUGCUUCUUUCCCAUCGAACAGACUAUUAGGCCUAGUAUAAAAAAGGAUCAAACUACAUGUGCUAUAGCUGUUGUAAGUAAGAAGGUAAAUAUUAGCUAGAUAUUAGGCCAUAAAAUUAUUAUACCUGAUAUUAUUGUUAUCAAGUGAGUACACAAUUAUUGUCUAUAUGCUGUAAACUGCAGUGAUGUAGGCUAAUUAGAAUAACCGCUCACACAUCCUGUUUUGUUUCAUACCGAAAUAACUGCAUACAGUAGCGUACCAGCCUAGGCCUGAGUAUGCAGCCAUUUGGAUCAGUCUGGGUCUAUUCUUGACAGUUUAGAAGGUCCAGAAAGGUACAUUAUUAGGUCACUCAUACGGUGUAGGCCUAUUUAGUCAGGAUGUAGUCCGCUGGUUAACAGGAUAGGACAAUACGGGCUCCUCCUUUCCAACUCCCUGCCCGUUCUUAACGCUGUAGCCUAUUUCACAUCCAGCAAGCAGGCCGCAAGCGUGCAUCUCUCCUCCAAUAGGAUAUUAGUAGGCUAAAGAAAAUAAGUCGAAAUACCUGUCAAAUAAGUUUUUGUAGACUGGCUUUUCCUUGGACUCCACAAUAUUUAAAAGGAAUAGCCGUGGCAGCGGAGAGGAUAAGUGCGUAAUUGCUCAUCAGAGCAAUGAAGACAGACAGACAGGCUGGGGAUGUACUGUGACCUACAGCCUAAGUUAGAAGCUUAUGCAUAUCAGACCAUAAUUCAUGAGCUCAAUGUUAGGCAUAAUACUGCAGUCAAUUUAUCCAGUCAAUUUACACAGUGAAAGAAAAAGUGCUUUUCAGAUAGUGAAAUCAUAGUUAGCGCUCCCGAUUCUGCGCUGAGUGCGGUCCCUCCAAGUCCGUGGGUACAUUGUUUUUUAGGGACAAGAAAUGUACCCUACCUAGGCUACAACAACACAAUGCAAUGAAGUAUGUUAUUAUUGUUUUCAAGUGCGUAGAAAACUCUAGUCUGGGCCAUAAACUGCAGUGAAUACCCUAUGUCAUUUGAAUAACCGCUCAAAAGCCUGGCUUUUAAAAUACAUAUUAAUUUGGAAAUAAAUGAAACUAACAUGCCUGACUGGACAACCAUUUGGAUCUGUUAUGUUUUUGUUAUGAGCAGUUCAGCCUACAAGGUCCAGGCACAUCAGCAGGACAAUAACACACGGUGUAUUUUGUCAUGAUUUCUCCGCUAACAGAAACAUGCUAAUGCAGGAGUUCCUAGUGGCGCGCAUAUGAAUUAUGAUAAUGCGCAAGCGCGGAGAAACAUGUAUCCAUAGUUUCCGCGUUUGGCGUCAUAUUUUAAAAGCGUUCGAAAAUGAGGUGGAUAACUCCCUAUACAAACAUUUAGAUAAUCAAUUUCACAUUCACAGCUGUUCUUCUACUGUACACUGAAGUUUCUCUUAGAUACAGAUCUAGGAUCAGCUUACCCAUCCUCCAAUCGUAACCUUAACUAUUAGCGGGAAAACUUAACUUAACUUAACUAGCGGGAAAACCACAAAACUGCUCUUAGAUCAUUGUCUAGGAUUCAACUUCAUCCCCAAGUCGAGCUGUAUGUAUACUUAGUUUAGAUGUGCUAUUUAAUGGUGCAGUGUCCCUUUUUAUUUGCUAUCCGUGGCACAUUGAAACAACGCAAAAGAAAGUAUUUUCAGUGUCUGUCUUUCUCCAUGCCUUUCUUCGUUAGUUUAAAACCCAUACUUUAAAAAAAAUGUUAGGACUAUAUCCUCUGCAAGUGUGGUCUCAAUAUCAUUUUUCCCUGGGGGCCAUAUUACUUAAAUCGGCUCAGGGGCCACUUUUGGAUCAUGGGCCUGUAGUUUAAGACCCCUGAUCUACAAGCACUGAGCAGAUACAGUAAGCAUUGUGAAUAACGUUAGAUGGAGGAACUUAGGCAUCUGUGCAGAUGUACAAAGCUACUUCAUAUAGUACACCACAAGCAGAGGCUUCAGUACAGAAUAAAACUUGUCUAAUAUUGUGAUUGAUGACUACAUUUCCCACAAUUCAUCUUGCGCUGAAAACUUGCCCUUGAAAAUAAGUCAACCCACUACAUCAUACUCAAAUCUCACUGACCCUCAUACAGAGUAGCUGUUGCUUAUGUAAAACUAUGUCGUGUUUCAUUUGAUAUGUUUAUAUUUAUAUAUAUAUAUAGUGUUUUUUAUUAUUCUCUUAAGACAUACAUUUUAAAACUUGAGGUGGUGAAACUGUAAAGUUGGGUUUUCUUUGGUUACCAGGUUGUUUUUCUUGUUGUUGUUUACAAGUGGAGAAAAGGUGGGAUCCUACACCUUUGUUGUGUGUGUGCGUGUGUUUGUGUGCGAUCCUACGCAGUUUCACACGUGGCAUUUCAGGGACGCAUCAUCCCACCGCCUCCCCAACACCCCCGCGCUCUGUGGUAAGAAUCUACCGGAAUGGCGUCUGUUUGUGUUCUAGAUUUAGCAUUGUCCAGGGCAACCAGCUGAACCUUCCCAUAAUUGGAGUUGGUUGCUAUGGGUAUAUAUUUCCAUCUUUUUAGUCACAGUGUGCAUCCCAAACGGCACCCUAUCCUCUAUAUAGUGCACUACUUUAGACCAGAGCUCUAUGGGCCCAGGUCAAAAGUAGUGCACUACGUAGUGAACAGGGUGCCAUGUUGGACGUGGCCUGUAACUUUUCUCAGAUGUACUCCUGUCUAGGUUAUGUAUGAGCCACGUUAAAUAAAUAAUUGAGGGAAUAACUUAAUAAAAACGUGACACCCACCUUGACACAAGCUGACUUGUGCUCCUCAUCCUCAACCAACCCCAUUUAGUUUACCCCAGCAAGGUCAUAGCCAUGUCUUGUAGUGUUGUACUGCUCACUGCUAAGUACUGUAAUACUGAAGCAUAACAUUAAUGAUUGAUUGGUUGAUUGAUUGAGUGGCUAACUAAGUGAUUGGGGGGGAGGGAGGGGGGGGGGGGUGUAUUCUAUAGCCUCAUUCCUCUCCCCCUUCAGUAUCCAUAGAUCUGACCGAAGCUAAAACAUCAUCAUACUGCCUAUCCACCUACCAAGUCAUUUCAGAUCUGUGAAUACAGGAAGAAAGAUAGAAAACAUUUGAGACACAAUUCUGUUGAGUGAUAUUGAGUCAGAAUUUUGGGGGGUGCUAAAAUCACUCCAUACACUCCCAUCCUUCCAGACCAAACUAGACUCCGUUUCCUCAAAAGCCUUAUCCCUUGACCCAUGACCCCUCUCAGUCGGACCACUCCCCGUUGUCCUCCCCGCCGGAGUCAGACUCUGAUUCGCUGUACUCGACGGCGAUGCGACGUGAGAGAAUGGUGGCCACGUCGUUUCCUACGGGCUCUCUCUUCGCUUCCUGCUCUCUCUGCUCCUGUACCUUCCUCAAUUGGAUACC
rnacentral:lncRNA from 1 species